rnacentral:rRNA from 1 species
GACGAACGCUGGCGGCGUGCCUAACACAUGCAAGUCAACUUGACUGAAGGAGCAAUCUGACAGUAGAGUGGCGCAAGGGUGCGUAACGCGUAAGUAACUUGCCCCAAGGUAAGGAAUAACGUCGAGAAAUCGGCGCUAAUACCUCAUAAUGCAGCGGAUCCGCAUGGAUAUGUUGUUAAAGGUUUACCGCCUUGGGAUAGGCUUGCGUCUGAUUAGCUAGUUGGUGUGGUAACGGCACACCAAGGCUACGAUCAGUAACUGGUCUGAGAGGAUGAUCAGUCACACUGGAACUGAGACACGGUCCAGACUCCUACGGGAGGCAGCAGUGAGGAAUAUUGGGCAAUGCUCGAAAGAGUGACCCAGCAACGCCGCGUGGAGGAUGAAGGUAUUCUAUAUCGUAAACUCCUGUGAGAGCAGACGAAAGACAGACUAUUAAUCUGGAUGACUGUAUGCUCAGAGGAAGCCCCGGC